AUAAUAAAGUGAGUAUUCAAAAUCAGAUUACUCUGAAAUUGAAUCCCACUCUGUUAAUGGGUACACUGCUACAUUCCCAGAUCCAUCCCAACCUACAAACCCAUUAUGGUUUCCAUUACAUCCUCACCUUCUCCUCCAAACUCAGACCUAUUUUUGCAAAAACAUUCUCUACAUUUACAAACAGACGUAUAAGUUCAAGUGGACCAUCAGAGAUUAGGGCUACUAAGGUCUCCGAUGCCACCCGAUUUAAACAAAACUGGCUCGAUUCUCUCACUAUCCCUCCUCUUGAAAUCAAAACCCAAACCAUUGAUGAUUCCAACUGGGUUCUGGGUAUCGACCCGGAUCUUUCCGGUGCUAUUGCCGUCUUGAAAACCAACCAAACCGGUUCGUCGGCUCAGGUAUUUGAUUCUCCUCACUUGCCAAUUUUGGUUGGUGGAAGAGUUCGAAAACGUUUAGAUGCCAAGGCCAUUGUUCUGUUGCUUCGGAGCUUAGAUGCUCCAGUUGGAACAACUGCAUAUAUAGAGCAAUCAACCCCUUAUCCAAAAGAUGGGAAACAGGGUUGGUGGUCUGGAGGAUUUGGAUAUGGAUUAUGGAUUGGGAUAUUAGUUGCCUCUGGCUUUUCUGUAGUUCCAGUAACAUCUGCGACGUGGAAGAAUGAGUUUGAACUGUCAGGAAGUACCGCUGCAAAGGAUGAUAGUAGGAGGCUUGCAUCCACAUUAUUUCCAUCUUUGAGUUCCCAACUGAGACGGAAAAAGGAUCAUGGAUUAUCUAUUGGGGCCAAUUCCUAAUCUCUUCAGAUCUUCAAGGAGCCAGUGCUUGCUUGAGUAGCCCCUUUGAGUUUUUUCAAUUAGACCGGUAAAAUUAUGUUGGUUGUUAUGUCUUGCUAGGUUUUCAUAUAGAUCAAAUGAAAUGAGGAGCAAAAUUCUUGUGUCAAGCCUCUGGAAUUGCCAUGAAAAGUAAAUCAACACAAUUGGGGCAGGGAUCAGUCCGUUUCGGACGAGCUUAUAAUGGGUUGACUCAUCUCAAAUGUUCGAUGGCUCCAAAAAAAACACAGCUAAGGCAAGAGAUAACAAAAAUAAGCUGCCAUAAUCAUUUUCAGGAUUAUCGCAGUCUGCAUGUCGCAAUCCAACUAACCACCAAAAAAGCUAGGAGACUUCCCUUGAAAUGUUCAUGAAGGGCGGAGGCUCUUCUGAUUGCUGCAUAUGGAAAAGGUCUGAAGCCAGACUCAUCGUGCUUCUCCAAAGAAUUGGUUGGUUUAAAAGAGAAAGUUGUCCUUUCAAACGAUGUGGUACCUUGUGAAGAAUGAUCUGCUAACAGAAAAUUAGCCUCUUCAAUACAGAGAUAUCGAUGUUCUUCCGGGUUCUGAACAUCUGUAAGGGUGUGAAUGACAAAUUAUUGUAUGAGAAGUAGCACUGGAGAUGAAGUAACAAGAUCAGAUUCUUGAAGAUUGCUAUUUAUUAUGACCCGUCUGCACUGGAGUCUUAUUGUUGUCAAGUAGUUACGACAAAAUAUCACUGAUACAUUUCAUUGUAGCUCAGUAUUGUAAUUGUGGAGUGGUUAUGUUAAAAUAUCACUACUUUCAUUGUAGCUCAGAAACCUUAGGUGUAGUCUAGAUAGAACAUCAAGGAAUUGUUGAACUAGCGGCAAUCUGUGAAAUGAAGUUGGAGUAUUUAUUUG